UACAUGGGGUGCAAACGUUGUUCGGAAUCAUUGGGCGUAAAGCGCACGUAGGCGGUUUGUUAUGUCGGAUGUGAAAGCCCUUGGCUCAACUGAGGAAGUGCAUCCGAAACUGGCAAGCUAGAGUACUAAAGAGGAUCGCGGAAUUCCCGGUGUAGAGGUGAAAUUCGUAGAUAUCGGGAGGAACACCGGUGGCGAAGGCGGCGAUCUGGGUAGAUACUGACGCUGAGGUGCGAAAGCGUGGGGAGCAAACAGG
rnacentral:rRNA from 1 species